GUAGGUGAACCUGCGGAAGGAUCAUUAAUGAAUUUUUCUGGCGGACCGGGUCUUGGGCUCGGCUUCGCGAAAGAUUUUUGUAUUUAAAACUUUUCCACCCGUGAAAAAAAAAAAAUUGUAAAUUGUAAAAUAAAAAAAAAGAUCACUUUCAACAACGGAUCUCUUGGCUCUC
rnacentral:misc_RNA from 1 species